AACGAACGCUGGCGGCAGGCUUAACACAUGCAAGUCGAGCGCCUCGCAAGAGGAGCGGCCGACGGGUGCGUAACGCGUGGGAACGUACCCUUAUCUUCGGAAUAGCUCUGGGAAACUGGAAGUAAUACCGAAUGUGCCCUUAGGGGGAAAGAUUUAUCGGAUAAGGAUCGGCCCGCGUUGGAUUAGCUAGUUGGUGGGGUAAAGGCCUACCAAGGCGACGAUCCAUAGCUGGUCUGAGAGGAUGAUCAGCCACAUUGGGACUGAGACACGGCCCAAACUCCUACGGGAGGCAGCAGUGGGGAAUAUUGGACAAUGGGCGCAAGCCUGAUCCAGCCAUGCCGCGUGAGUGAUGAAGGCCUUAGGGUUGUAAAGCUCUUUCACCGGAGAAGAUAAUGACGGUAUCCGGAGAAGAAGCCCCGGCUAACUUCGUG
rnacentral:rRNA from 1 species